rnacentral:lncRNA from 1 species
CGGUUAACAGCAGGUGGUUUAACUUGGAGAAGCAUAUCAUGGUGGACGGUGAGAAGAAGGAGAUCAAGUUCGCGAGCAGGAUACACAUGAGGAUAUGUUUGGAAGGAGGGUACCAUGUUCUUGAUGAGUCUACGCAUUACAGUAGCGACCUUAGACCGACGGCUAAGCAGCUCUGGAAGCCGAGCAUCGGCGUGUUGGAGGUCGGGAUACUUAAUGCCACCGGCUUGAUGCCUAUGAAGAAUAAAGAUGGACGAGGGACGACGGAUGCGUACUGUGUGGCGAAGUAUGGUCAGAAGUGGAUUCGAACGAGGACUAUUAUAGACAGCUUUACUCCGAGGUGGAACGAGCAGUACACGUGGGAGGUUUUUGAUCCGUGUACUGUCGUCACCGUUGGGGUUUUUGAUAACUGUCAUCUCCAUGGAGGUGGUGAGAAGAACGGUGGAGGAGGAGGAGGAGGGAAAGAUUCAAGAAUCGGGAAGGUGAGGAUCAGGCUCUCUACUUUAGAGACGGAUCGUGUCUACACGCACUCGUAUCCUCUUCUUGUGCUGCAUCCCAACGGAGUCAAGAAGAUGGGAGAGAUUCAUUUAGCUGUGAGGUUCACUUGCUCCUCGUUACUCAACAUGAUGUAUAUGUACUCGGUGCCUCUCUUGCCUAAGAUGCAUUACAUUCAUCCUCUGACGGUUAGCCAGCUUGAUAACCUGAGGCACCAAGCGACUCAGAUUGUGUCGAUGAGGCUGACAAGAGCGGAGCCGCCGCUGAGGAAGGAAGUGGUUGAGUACAUGCUUGAUGUUGGCUCCCACAUGUGGAGUAUGAGGAGAAGCAAAGCGAAUUUUUUCAGGAUCAUGGGUGUUUUGAGCGGGUUGAUAGCUGUUGGGAAGUGGUUUGAGCAGAUAUGUAACUGGAAGAAUCCGAUCACAACGGUGUUGAUCCAUCUCUUGUUCAUCAUCCUUGUUGUCUACCCUGAGCUGAUCUUGCCGACUAUCUUUCUUUACCUUUUUCUUAUCGGUGUAUGGUACUACCGUUGGAGACCGAGGCAUCCUCCGCACAUGGACACGCGUCUCUCACACGCUGACUCAGCUCACCCGGACGAGCUUGACGAGGAGUUUGACACAAACUAUGUAAAUUAUAACAACUAGCUACUAUCUAUGCACAACCCUUGUUUCAUAAGGUAAUAACAUAGAGCGGACAAAUGGGAACAGACAUGAUAUAGAGAUGUAUUAUUGUCCAUAUACCAAUUUUGGAUUCAUAUGUACAGUAGCUUGGUUUUGUAAACUACUUAGAAAAAGAGAGUCGUAUAUUUAUAACAACAACAACUCCGAAAGUGUUUGAUGAAUUUCCAUUUUCCAGCUAUACCCAAUCACGUAAAAUACCUAACUAGAAGGAUUCGCUUACGUGUUUAGAACCUAUAGUCCCAUCUUUAGGUUUGGUGUCAAUUGACUAGAGAGACAUAUCAUUUACACCAUUUAUUAUUUAUCACCAACAACUGAUCAAGAUCCAUAACUAUCAUAAUGGAGUACUAGAAAUUAGUCCGAAUGUUUUUAUAGUUUAGACUAAACUAAUGCAACUUGAAUUACACCGGUUUUUUCUUCUUUUUCGUGUUUUCACCUAAAGGCAUGAUGAUAACUAAUGCCGACCAUAAAGAAUAAUCAUUUAUAAAAAUCAAGCACAUGUAACGCAUAUAUGUGGAAAUUAUGAUUUCAGACAUUUAAGGUAAAAUUCGAGGAAAAACAUUUGAUUGCGACUGUUUUUCUUUACGACUGUAAUGUUGUAACCUUUUUUGUUGUUUGGUGAAGAAGUAACGAUGCAACUUAUAAUACAUUAUCCCCUUUCCAAGCAUAAUAUAAAUCUAUAUAUACUUUCUAAAGGCUUACUCUGUAGCCAGAAUACGUUUUCAGCAAAACAGAAUUACUUUUUGAUAAUUAAGAAGAGUUCAAACCGGGCUUUAAGCAUUUCUUUAGAUCUAAGACUAGCCGUUGCUAGCAUCUCGUGACAUUGGCAUAAAACAUUCUAAUCUUUUCAUCGAAAUCAAACUAAACGCACAACAGAGCUAACUUCUAUUGCUGUUGGUAAAACAUAAACUUUUACUGAAUGAAUAUGGAGAUGAAUGUAUGAUUAAACGCCAUAGGAACCGUAAAUGGAACUUUUAUCUAGCAAACGACAAAAGUAAGAGUCAGGGCCAGCCAAAGCAAAAGUACGAAUUUGUAUUGCUUAUUGUAUAGAAUGCAGAAACAUGGAGGAAUCCAAUGACUUGUGCUUCAUCUUCUACUAUUUUUUUUUGUAAAUUUUCUCAGUCUUUUUUUUUAUCACAAUUUAAUCAAAAUAAAUUUGCAUCAUACAACCAAUUACACACUCAAAAUGUACACACUAAAAACAAUAGUAUUUCCGUUAAGAAAAACAAUUCAACGAGGAUUAUUUAAGUUUAAGUUUUUCCAAUAAAGUAUUUUAUUACGGAGAACCGUUGUCUUCACACGUGUGGGAUUCAAAACGAAGAGGGUAUGUCUUGCGUGAUUUUCCAUGGACCCCACCCGUAUAUUUUUGUAGCACAACAGUGCCAUGUGUGCGUCUCUCUACUGUUUUUUUUUCUUUCUUUUUUGUAUAGUCAUCAGAUCAUAACCGAGUAUAAAAAAGGUAGAAACUGUAGAAAAAGCAAAGGAAAGAAGAAGACAACAGAAUACAACAAGAAGAGACCAAUACAAUAAAAAUAUCUCUCUCUCUCGGACUCUCCUUCCUCUUCAAUGUUAUUUCUUUCUCUCUCUAGAAAUUUCCCUUUCCCAGUAGUGCAUACCCUCUCUGCUUUUACUAGUCUUAUCUUCGUUUGUCCCUUUUAUUUAUUAGACUUUGAUUAAAACGAGGACGAACCAACAAGAGAGAAGACAUAACUCUCCUUACUCAUCAAGGACGGAGAUUUUCUCGCUCUUCUUCUCAUCCAUGAACUGCUUCUGAGUGUUGCUUUUUUUGAAGAUCUAAGGUGUUUAUUCUCAGAUCUAAACUUUUAUUACUAUUAUCUUCCCAUAACUGCUUUUACUGAUCUUUUUCUAUGGAUUUUGAGCAUUUUUUAUUUGUCGUUUUCUGUUUUUGGUAAAUAAAAAUUUUGAAGAAAAAAAGUUUAAACUCUCAAUGAAGUGAACUGGAAGAUGUUUUUUUUAAAAUAAAUGUUGGGUUGAUUCAUGAUUUUGUGCCGUUAGAUUCUGCUUCGGAGAUGCUAACGAGGUUGUGUUAUGAUCUAGAAAAUGCGAGAUGCUAUAUUCGAGUAUCUUUUUGUAAUAUUCAUUUAUUUAUCAUUUUCUUACUUUUUUAAUUCUCUUACAAUGGUGGUUUUGUGUUUCAGAUCUAGUGUUUUGAAGUGGAGCAAUAGUCUCUGUAAGUAUCAAUCUUUAUUGCUAAUCUUUAGCUAAUGAAUCUUACUAAUUUUCGAAACUUUUGUUCAGUGUCUUUCUCGAAGCAAACAUGAUGCAGAGACCACCUCCCGAAGACUUCUCCUUGAAGGAGACAAGACCCCACCUCGGCGGCGGCAAACUCACCGGCGACAAACUCACCAGCACCUACGACCUCGUCGAGCAAAUGCAGUACCUCUACGUCCGCGUCGUCAAGGCCAAGGAGCUCCCCGGGAAAGACCUUACCGGAAGCUGCGACCCUUACGUCGAAGUCAAGCUCGGUAACUACAAAGGCACCACGCGUCACUUCGAGAAGAAGUCAAACCCGGAGUGGAACCAAGUCUUCGCCUUCUCCAAAGACAGGAUCCAAGCCUCGUUCCUCGAAGCCACGGUUAAAGACAAGGACGUUGUGAAAGACGAUUUGAUCGGUCGCGUUGUCUUUGAUUUGAACGAGGUGCCUAAGAGAGUCCCUCCCGACAGCCCCUUGGCUCCUCAGUGGUAUAGACUCGAAGGCACUAAAGGUGAGAAAGUGAGAGGAGAGCUUAUGCUUGCUGUUUGGUUCGGUACUCAAGCUGAUGAAGCUUUUCCCGAGGCUUGGCACUCGGAUGCAGCCACAGUGAGCGGAACAGACGCUCUCGCUAACAUACGCUCAAAAGUCUAUCUCUCCCCCAAGCUAUGGUACUUGAGAGUUAACGUCAUCGAGGCUCAAGAUCUGAUACCUAGCGAUAAAGGGAGGUACCCUGAGGUCUACGUGAAGGCUAUAGUGGGAAACCAAGCGUUACGGACUAGAGUCUCUCAAAGCAGGACUAUUAACCCCAUGUGGAACGAGGAUCUGAUGUUUGUAGCAGCUGAGCCUUUCGAGGAGCCGUUGAUUUUAAGCGUUGAAGACAGAGUUGCUCCUAACAAGGACGAAGUCUUAGGGAGAUGCGCGAUCCCGUUGCAGCAUUUGGACAGGAGGUUUGACCACAGGCCGGUUAACAGCAGGUGGUUUAACUUGGAGAAGCAUAUCAUGGUGGACGGUGAGAAGAAGGAGAUCAAGUUCGCGAGCAGGAUACACAUGAGGAUAUGUUUGGAAGGAGGGUACCAUGUUCUUGAUGAGUCUACGCAUUACAGUAGCGACCUUAGACCGACGGCUAAGCAGCUCUGGAAGCCGAGCAUCGGCGUGUUGGAGGUCGGGAUACUUAAUGCCACCGGCUUGAUGCCUAUGAAGAAUAAAGAUGGACGAGGGACGACGGAUGCGUACUGUGUGGCGAAGUAUGGUCAGAAGUGG